rnacentral:rRNA from 1 species
CCUACGGGAGGCAGCAGUAGGGAAUAUUGGGCAAUGGAGGCAACUCUGACCCAGCCAUGCCGCGUGCAGGAUGAAGGCGUUAUGCGUUGUAAACUGCUUUUAUAUAGGAAGAAAGAGUUCUUGCGAGAACAGUUGACGGUACUAUAUGAAUAAGCACCGGCUAACUCCGUGCCAGCAGCCGCGGUAAUACGGAGGGUGCAAGCGUUGUCCGGAUUUAUUGGGUUUAAAGGGUGCGUAGGCGGUUUAUUAAGUCAGUGGUGAAAGACGGUCGCUCAACGAUUGCAGUGCCAUUGAUACUGGUAGACUUGAGUGAGAUUGAGGUAGCUGGAAUGGAUAGUGUAGCGGUGAAAUGCAUAGAUAUUAUCCAGAACACCAAUUGCGUAGGCAAGUUACUAAGUCUUAACUGACGCUGAGGCACGAAAGUGUGGGUAUCAAACAGGAUUAGAUACCCUGGUAGUCCACACUGUAAACGAUGAUAACUAACUGUUGGCUUUCGGGUCAGUGGUACAGAGAAAUCGUUAAGUUAUCCNCGNGGUAAGUAGCGCGAGUAGAAGUUAAGUAAGUUAGNGNGNGAGAGNGCGAGACGACGACGAGGAGGAGG